rnacentral:tRNA from 1 species
UUCGGGGUCGUCUAAAGGCAGGACAUCGCACUUUGACUGCGACAAUGCUGGUUCGAUUCCAGCUCCCGAAA